rnacentral:lncRNA from 1 species
CCCAUCAUUGGUAGAUUGGAUAAAGAAAGUGUGGUACAUAUGGUCAUUUUAUUAGGAAGUGAAAUAAAGUGUAUGUUAAUGAGCAUGUUGCUUUUGUGGGCCUAAUCCUAACAGCAACCGUCUGAGAAGCUGUGUGGAGCAUCCCUCAAGUCAUCCUUUCUUGGAUGAUGGGGAGGCUGGGGCAUUUAUCCACUUACCUUCCUUCCCCAUUGGUUGAUGGGUGUCCCUGGUGGCAUGAACCCCUCUCACUUCAGGGUUGCAUUUUUUUUUUGACAGAGCAAACCCCAUGGUGUUGGAGAAUCAGGAGAAGAAGAGAGAGGCUGGUCUAGAGGUGCAGAGCUUUCAGCAAACUGCUUACCACACCUAAGGUGAAUUCAGGUGGGCCCUGCAGGCAUGGGGUGUGGUGUUGACAGGGUCUGCUACACUUGGCAAGGGUUAAGGUUAGAAUUAGAGUCAGGAUUAGUAAACUCUGAUAGGUUGAAGUAAACAAAGAAAAAAGAGCAUCAGCAUCAACCUCUCCCACUCUUUCCUCAGGAUAUAUUGAGAACCACAUUUUGGCAAAGUGUGUAUAAACUAUUAAUAAAGUAUCAUUUAUUUCAUAGUUUUUGAUAAAAUAUGUAAAUUGAAACUCUAAUAUUUUCUUUCCACACCUGGAAGGUCAUUUUGAAUAUCUCUUGGGAGCCUGCAUCUCUUCCUUAUGAUCAGUUUCCUAGCACAGCGACUCAAGGGCCUGAUGCGUCAGGCUGCUGAGAUAUCUAUCUGUUCCGACAAAGGCUGCAUCAGUGCCAUGAAAACACAUCACGUGCUGCAAGUCCUGGCAACAUUUAUGUCUCCAAUGCAAAAUUGUGGAUUUCUGCCAAGAAUUUACCUGCCUAUUCUCCAAGGACAAACAGUGUGUGUUGCAGCCCUAAAACUACAUAUUUUCCUGCUACUUCAAAAUCUCCAUAAAAGGGCUGUGAGUUUCCAAUUUAGUCAACCAGGUGCACCAAUGUGAUAAGGUUGGUCCCUGCUGGAGGUUCUCCUUCCUACUUCCUUUCCUGACUGUGACCUAGUGACAUUCAAACACACCAAUGAAAUUCCCUCACUCUUUUUCUUGUGUGUCCCACCCUGAACCUCAAUAAAUGUACUUGCUCACAGGUUCUCUCUCUCUCUCUGCUUCCCAUCUGCUUGGGUGAUCCUGAUCCCUUCGUGCUCAUUCCCAUGUGAUUCCCCUUUCAGCAUGCAGUGAUCCUGUCUCUCUGGGACCUGUGAGCAUCAUAAACUGUUUUUUCCUGAGCCUCUCCUGUUUCUUCUCGUGGCCACACCUGACUUACCAUCUCAUGAAAGAAUGCAAAACAGUGAUUAUACUUUUUUUUUUUCCUUUAGGAAGGAGAGUAACAGAAGGAUCAGUUUCCAUUGAAAGUGCUAUGAUACAAU